rnacentral:lncRNA from 13 species
ACUAAUGAUUUGCCAGGCGUGAGCUCGCCGCUUUCUUCUCCCUCGCCCAACAAAUCCAUUUCUACCGUUUCAUUGCUUUCUUUAUGUGUCGAUGCAUUAUCUGUUAUAAAAAGCAAGAUCUUCCUGCGCUGCUUUCAUCACUUGUUUCAAUACUUCCAUCACUAUCAUUUGAAUGACAUAACUCUCUCGUGUUAAAAGUAAUCUUUAAAGCAAUAAAUGUAUCAAUAUUAUUAUAUGAUAGAAAAAUAAA